rnacentral:misc_RNA from 1 species
AAAGUGCGAUAAGCAAUGCGAAUUGCAGAAUUCCGCGAAUCAUCAGAUCCUUGAACGCAACUGGCGCUAGGGGGCUCUCCCCCUAGCAUGUCUGUUUCAGUGUCUGAAAACAUCAUAAUAAACUUAAUGUGAUUGACAAAGGAGAGUGAAGGUGAUAGUUUAGUAGAUUCUACUUACUAUUUACUUAUUCCUCUUACUAAGUCUCUCAUGAAAGAUGUGUAUGUGGGUCUUUGGACUCCUCAUCGGAUUUUGGUCACUGUCUCCAGUGAUUUCGAUAGAGGAGUGUUCUGAUGAAUAUGAAGGCUUGUCUUUCAUAUUCUAAGGGACUAAACUCAAUUACCCGAAAUUACAUACAAGAAUCAUUUGAUAGUUCUUACGAGCUAUCUAAUCAUCAAACUCUGCAUCUGAAAUCAGGCAAGAUCACCCGCUGAACUUAAGC